UACGUAGGGGGCAAGCGUUAUCCGGAUUCAUUGGGCGUAAAGAGCGCGUAGGCGGAUUGUUAAGUCAGAUGUGAAAACUGGGGGCUCAACCCGCAGCCUGCAUCUGAAACUGGCAGUCUUGAGUCUGGUAGAGGAAAGUGGAAUUCCCAGUGUAGCGGUGAAAUGCGCAGAUAUUGGGAGGAACACCAGUGGCGAAGGCGGCUUUCUGGGCCACGACUGACGCUGAGGCGCGAAAGCUAGGGGAGCAAACAGG
rnacentral:rRNA from 1 species